GUCCACGCCCUAAACGAUGUCAACUGGUUGUUGGGAGGGUUUCUUCUCAGUAACGUAGCUAACGCGUGAAGUUGACCGCCUGGGGAGUACGGCCGCAAGGUUGAAACUCAAAGGAAUUGACGGGACCCGCACAAGCGGUGGAUGAUGUGGUUUAAUUCGAUGCAACGCGAAAACCUUACCUACCCUUGACAUGUCAGAGAUCCCGAAGAGAUUUGGGAGUGCUCGAAAGAGAAUCUGAACACAGGUGCUGCAUGGCCGUCGU
rnacentral:rRNA from 1 species